UGCCACAGCCAUGUCACCCUGCAGCCCAAGACCGGUUACUCACUAAAGCUAAGCAGGGCUGAGCCUGGUCAGUACCUGGAUGGGAGACCACUAGGGAACACUAGGUUGCUGUUGGAU
rnacentral:rRNA from 1 species